CUCCGGUUGAUCCCGCCGGACCCGACUGCUAUCAGAGUGGGACUAAGCCAUGCGAGUCGACGUAGCAAUGCGUGGCGAACGGCUCAGUAACACGUAGUCAACAUGCCCAGGGGACGUGGAUAACCUCGGGAAACUGAGAAUAAACCACGAUAGGUCACGAUUUCUGGAAUGGAUCAUGGCCUAAAUCUACAUGGCCCCUGGAUUGGACUGCGGCCGAUCAGGCUGUUGGUGAGGUAAUGGCCCACCAAACCUAUAACCGGUACGGGCUCUGAGAGGAGAAGCCCGGAGAUGGGCACUGAGACAAGGGCCCAGGCCCUAUGGGGCGCAGCAGGCGCGAAACCUCUGCAAUAGGCGAAAGCCUGACAGGGUUACUCUGAGUGAUUUCCGCUAAGGGGAUCUUUUGGCACCUCUAAAAAUGGCGCAGAAUAAGGGGUGGGCAAGUCUGGUGUCAGCCGCCGCGGUAAUACCAGCACCCCGAGUGGUCGGGACGAUUAUUGGGCCUAAAGCAUCCGUAGCCGGUUCUGCAAGUCUUCCGUUAAAUCCAGCUGCUCAACGGAUGGGCCGCGGAGGAUACUACAGGACUAGGAGGCGGGAGAGGCAAGCGGUACUCAGUGGGUAGGGGUAAAAUCCUUUGAUCCAUUGAAGACCACCAGUGGCGAAGGCGGCUUGCCAGAACGCGCUCGACGGUGAGGGAUGAAAGCUGGGGGAGCAAACCGGAUUAGAUACCCGGGUAGUCCCAGCUGUAAACGAUGCAGACUCGGUGAUGGGCUAGCCUUGUGCCAGCCCAGUGCCGCAGGGAAGCCGUUAAGUCUGCCGCCUGGGGAGUACGGUCGCAAGACUGAAACUUAAAGGAAUUUGGCGGGGGAGCA
rnacentral:rRNA from 1 species